AAAUGAUUAAAAGAAAAACCUAAAAUGGUUUCCCCCCUUGCAAUUCGGAAACCCAUUUAGGGAGUUAUCUAUCUACCUCUUCCAAAUCUGAAAACCCAAAAUCCCUCUAAAUUCCCCAAUUCCCUCUCCCAUUCCUACUUUACCCAAUUUCCUCUCCCUAAAAUUCCUCCUCAAUUUUGCUGCUUAUCUUCUAUUGCAAAUUCACCUCUUUCCUCAUUCCCCCUUUGGUUUAUUUGUUUAUUUAGAUACAUAGCAAAAUCAUUAGAAAUAUAGCCUCACCUACUCCGGCCAAAUUGUCUCACAGAAAGAGAACCACUCCCGUCGCUGGCGAAAUCUCUUCUUUCCGUCUCAUUCUCUGGAAAAUAGAACAUUGAGUUCCUUAUCAUUUUUUUUCUGUAGAUUUUGUGCUCUGUGCUCUCACGUGACCCAUUUUCUAUGUUUUGAUGGUAUGCUUUGUUGCAUUGGUGUAUGUUUCUGAAUCGGUUCGCCGACGUGGUUUUACACAUUUGAACCAUUUCUCUUCCAUCUUCCUCACCUGUUGAGGAUACUCCAUGGAAUCUACUCAACCAUCAUUUUUUGGGACUGGAUAUUUUCUUUGGCAGAUAGAUUUAUCCCUUGUUAGGGACACGUACUUGCACAAUCACAAAUGGAGUCGAACAAAGAGGAGCUUGAAGGCCCUUAAUAUUUUAUUUUUAUUUUUCAUAUAUGUGCACAAUGAUAAUGAAUAAUGAAGUAUUCUACUGUAUAUUUAAUUGCCUUUUAGUAAUGAAAGUAUUUAUAAUAUUCCGCUUGAAAAUA